UUUUAAAUAUUUUUUAUUCCAGAUGUGACGGGACAGGGGUUAUAUCAGAGAUCAAGUUUAGGAAUAUAUUCAGUUUUACAGAGUCUGUUCCAUUAAUUGUAUGUGAUGACCCUAACAGCGACGAGUUGGAUACUGUGUGCUGUCGGGAUCCAAACUAUCAGAGUUCGAGACCAGAUUAUGAUUAUGAUUACAAUGAUGAUGUUGAUGCUAUUUUGGAGGAAGAAAAAUUUAAUCAAAUACGAACAAAUGAAAACA